AGCUCCAAUAGCGUAUAUUAAAGUUGUUGCAGUUAAAACGCUCGUAGUCGGAUUUCGGGGCCUGCCUGCCGGUCUGCCGAUGGGUAUGCACUGGCAGGCGCGUCCUUCCUUCCGGAGACUGUCCCUACUCUUAGCUGAGCGGGGUCGGGAGACGGAUCGUUUACUUUGAAAAAAUCAGAGUGUUUCAAGCAGGCAGCUCGCUCUUGCAUGGAUUAGCAUGGGAUAAUGAAAUAGGACUUUGGUGCUAUUUUGUUGGUUUCGAACACCGAAGUAAUGAUUAACAGGGACAGUCAGGGGCACUCGUAUUCCGCCGAGAGAGGUGAAAUUCUCAGACCAGCGGAAGACGAACCACUGCGAAAGCAUUUGCCAGGGAUGUUUUCACUG
rnacentral:rRNA from 1 species